GGGGGCAGUGUUACUGAAAUUAGAAGUUCAGAAAUUUUCUUACUCUCUUUCCCGAGCACAGGAGUUGUUGGCAAUCUCUUUUUACCCCAGUGGAAAGUUAUCCAGCAUGACCACUCAGAGCCUCAAGACUGCUAGACCCAGAGAGAGAUCUUCUUGUGGGAAAACAACUGUGGACUUCUCAGUGCCUUUCCAGGCCCGGCUGGUAUGAAGACUGAGCCUAACACCUUUGCAAAGUGGCAUUUGAGUGAUUUAUAAUGAAGACAAACCUAAGGUAGGAGUUUUUUCCUUGUUUUCCUUACUCAGUUCUUCCUGUGUAAAAAAAAUAAAAUAAAAUAAAAUGGCGUGUUUCCUAAUGAUACUAACUUAAGAGGGAGUGAUUUCUAGCAUAUUGCACACAUGGGU
rnacentral:lncRNA from 1 species